rnacentral:rRNA from 1 species
GACGAACGCUGGCGGCGUGCUUAACACAUGCAAGUCGAACGGUGAACCUCUUCGGAGGGGCUCAGUGGCGAACGGGUGAGUAACACGUGGGCAACCUGCCCCCGGCCCUGGGAUAACUCCAAGAAAUUGGGGCUAAUACCGGAUGUUCACCGCUUCCCGCAUGGGUGGUGGUGGAAAGGGUUUCCGGCUGGGGUUGGGCCCGCGGCCUAUCAGCUUGUUGGUGGGGUAGUGGCCUACCAAGGCGACGACGGGUAGCCGGCCUGAGAGGGAGACCGGCCACAGAGGGCUAGGGAAGGCACCAGUAGUGCAUCGGGAGGAAGGGGGGGGAGAUUUGGGGAAAAGGGCGGAGGCCGGGCGGAGGGACGCCGGGUGGGGGAAGACGGCUUUUGGGUUGGAACCCUUUUUCCAGGAGGAAGGAGCGAAAGGACGGUAACUUGCAAAAAAGGCACGGGCAAAUAAGGG